ensembl:lncRNA
AAGCAGUCAACCCCAAACAAUCAGAAAGGGGCAGGUUUUAAUGCACUCAAGAGACAGCGGACAGCUGCGUCGAAUCUGCCUUAUGGCCUCAGCUCCACUCCACCAGGAAGUUUACCCGGUAACACACACAGACAGACACACCCACAAAUACCCUGGCAGUGGCCCUGGGGCCGUCACACCCACCCCCCCUCCCCCAGCCCAUCAGGGGCUCACGCCUCUGUAUCACCUUCCCCUCCCCCACGUACCAGCCUGCUUCAAGGCCUCCACCAUCAUCCCUGUUCCCAAGCAGCCCAGGAUCACAGGACUCAAUGACUACCUCCCUGACCUCUGUAGUCAUGAAGUCUUUUGAACGGCUAGUCCUGUCCCACCUGAAGACCCUCACUGACCCCCUCCUGGACCCCCUGCAGUUCGCCUACAGAAUCAACAGGUCUGUGGACGAUGCUGUCAACAUGGCCCUCAACUACAUCCUCCAGCCUCUGGACUCCCCAGGAACCUACGCCAGGAUCCGGUUUGUGGACUUCAGCUCUGCCUUCAACACCAUCAUCCCGUCUCUGCUGCAGGACAAACUCUCAGCUACACAGACAAAUAACAAAGGAUCCAAACAAAUAAGUAAGGCCUGUCUCUCGUACACAGUUAAAAUAUUUCUUGACCUAGUUAGGAGGCCAAAACAAGGCAAACCCAAACAGGGUUAAUUUAACAAAAGGAUCCAAACAAAUAAGUAAGGCCUGUCUCUCGUACACAGUUAAAAUAUUUCUUGACCUAGUUAGGAGGCCAAAACAAGGCAAACCCAAACAGGGUUAAUUUAACAAAAGGCAAAGAAACAGGGUUAAUUUAAGCAAAGCAUUGGUCUCUGGCAGGUUAGCGGGUGUAGAGCUGAUGCUCAGUGAUCCAUGCCCGGUCAGGCCGCUUCAGCCAAACAGCGUGGGUCGGAGGGAUCGACGCUACCAUGAGAAUUACCAGCGGCGGACAUUGAGUGCAUCAGGUGGAGAGUAGUAUGCAGCCACACCAGUGAGCUUCUGUCACCACACAGCGCCGCGUGAAAGACGCCUGGCUAAUGAAAUGCAGACAGGUGCUCUGAGGCCGCCUUUGUACCGCAUUGUCAUGCAGCGAUUGGCUGUGAUCCAGACCCAGCUGAAAGUUAUUAGGACCAAUCACUGCAUACUGCCACACAAGCCCAAAAGAUCGUAGCCGACCCCUCUCACCCCAGACAAAACCUGUUUGUGCCCCUUCCAUCUGGAAGGAGGCUGAGGUCCCUUCAGGGCUAAGACCUCCCGCCACACGAACAGUUUCUUCCCUUCGGCAGUCGGGCUCAUCAACAGAGCCCGGUCAUCCACUGACUGACUCUGACAUUCCUCUGGUCACUUUCUUUUAAAAUUCAUAUUUUUAAAUCUAACUUUAUUCUUUUAUUUUAAACUAACCCAUAUAAUAAAAUGCUAAUGCUAUGGGGUAGUUAACAUUAGCAUUUUAUUUUAUUACGCGUGCACUGCUAGUUUGUCUAUUGUCAUACUGUCUACUGUCACGCACCAACCGCCAAGUCACAUUCCUUGUAUGUAUGACAUAUUUUGGCGAUAAAUGUCAAUGACACCUCCAAUCUACAGCAGAACCUGGCAUAUCAGGAGAUUGGAGCUACUUAGGCUCUACCACCACCACCAGUGUCUGGACUCCCAAAGGGGGGAUAUGCCUCAUCUCAGCAUCCUGGCCCCUGCGGCAGGAUGGAGUCCAAGCCCCAAACAACUUUGCAAUAUAAGUAUUUAUGCCUGUUAUAAUAAAGCAUUGUUAAAAUUUCAAGAA